rnacentral:lncRNA from 1 species
UCAGCCUCGUCGGUUCAUGCCACGUUACUUCCUGAAGGAAACUAUAUGGCACACUUGGAGGAACGAGAUUUAUGGAUAUCGUUUACUAGGAAACUUCGUAAAUCGUAAACAAUCCUGGUAAUGCCGCACGCUACAUUCCUGACCCUGAUCCAGAAAUGUUCCAAGGGGUUGAGUGACGCAACAAAAGACGCAUCUGGAACAACAUGGAUCAAUCUGAA